rnacentral:rRNA from 1 species
AUGGCGGCUUUCCUCCGGAACCUCUUCCUAGCGACGGCACAGCAGUACUACGGCGGCGUCGACGAUGGUCAGCACAACAUGGAGCGCCGCCUCCGCCUCUACGCCGACGCGUACAUGCUGCUGGCCGUCUCCUUCCUCCUCCGGGCCACGCCCCCUCCGAGCAGCAACGCUGGCGCCGACGCCGUCACCGGGUUCUUGCUCUGGGUUGCCGCCGUGGCUCUUCUGAUCCUGUCCUUCGUGCACCAGCGCUUCCCGGCGGCAGCCGUGGCCGCUGCUGACCUGGCGCAGGCGGCGCUCGAGCCACUGUUCGAGCUUCUCAACUGA